CGGAGGAAAAGAAACUAACAAGGAUUCCCCUAGUAACGGCGAGUGAAGCGGGAAGAGCUCAAAUUUGAAAUCUGGUAGCCUUCGGUUGCCCGAGUUGUAAUCUAGAGAAAUGUUUUCCGUGCCGGCCCAUGUACAAGUCCCUUGGAACAGGGCGUCAUAGAGGGUGAGAAUCCCGUCCUUGACAUGGACCCCCGGUGCUUUGUGAUACAUUUUCAACGAGUCGAGUUGUUUGGGAAUGCAGCUCAAAAUGGGUGGUGAAUUCCAUCUAAAGCUAAAUAUUGGCGAGAGACCGAUAGCGAACAAGUACCGUGAGGGAAAGAUGAAAAGCACUUUGGAAAGAGAGUUAAACAGUACGUGAAAUUGUUGAAAGGGAAACGAUUGAAGUCAGUCAUGCUCUUUGGUAUUUAUAUCAUUGAGUGGGGUCAACAUCAGUUUUGAUCGAUGGAUAAAGGCACUAGGAAGGUAGCACUCUCGGGUGAACUUAUAGCCUAGCGUCAUAUACAUUGAUUGGGACUGAGGAACGCAGCAUGCCUUUAUGGCCGGGAUUCGUCCACGUACAUGCUUAGGAUGUUGACAUAAUGGCUUUAAA
rnacentral:rRNA from 1 species